CGGAGGGGAGGCGUGGGCUGGAGCUCGGAGGCAGCUCCCCGUCCUUUCCCAGCAAAGCAGAAUAUCCUCAAAAACAUGGGAUGAGAUUCCAUCGCUGCUUCAAGGGAGCCUUGUUCUUAAUCGCGGGGAGAUCAGCGGUAUUUUAGAGCUCUUGUUUCCGGGACUGCAAAGAUGACUCUGGAAAAUGGCAUGCAGUAGGUCUGGGAAAGCUCCUGAGUCACCCUGGUCCCGAUUUGUUCCCAGC
rnacentral:lncRNA from 1 species